UACGUAGGGAGCGAGCGUUGUCUGGAAUUACUGGGUGUAAAGGGUGCGUAGGCGGCCUUGCAAGUCAGGCGUGAAAACCAUGGGCUCAACCCGUGGACUGCGUUUGAAACUGUGAGGCUUGAGUGAAGUAGAGGUAGGCGGAAUUCCCGGUGUAGCGGUGAAAUGCGUAGAGAUCGGGAGGAACACCAGUGGCGAAGGCGGCCUACUGGGCUUUAACUGACGCUGAGGCACGAAAGCAUGGGUAGCAAACAGG
rnacentral:rRNA from 1 species